GGAGGACUGUUCUGCGGAGCGCUCCGAACGGACAAACCACAAUAAAAAGUUCACGUUCAUGGAUGGAAUCCACAUGACUUCUUGUGGCCAAUCCAACUUGAAGAGAGCUACAUCCUUCCCAGUGGGGAGUCCAGGCAGCCCCCCACUCCACCCUAGACGGGAACAGGAGACACACGCCGCUGGAAACCUCCUAGCCAAGCCUGACCUGGCCGUGUUCUGACGAGCGGAGAGGGUUUAGACCCAUACUGGGCAGCCCUGCGGAGGCAACAGGAGGGGUGAGAGUUGGGGGCGGCCUCCAGAACCCCCAAAGAGCCCGUCAUCCUCAGGCUCCUUUCUCAGAGAAAAUGACAUUUUUCCUUCUCCAAGACUAUCCCUGGUGUCAAGUCUCCUCAAUUCCUAGGUUCAGAGGGCAGCUUAUUCCCAAUCUUUUUAGAAUUGAAAAUAAAAUGAAGGUCCAAGAUCUUGGUUCCCGCUUUUUUUUCCCCCUUGAGUGUAAGGCAGUUUGAAGCCUUUUCUGCCUUGUCAAGUGACCCACACCCACCUGCCUUUUUUCAGAAAAAUUCUGGUGUCCCAGCAGCUGGGAUACACCUUGGAGGCCCGGAAAAAAAAGAAACUUAUCCUUCUCCAAAUUCCACCUUCUGUGCUAAUUUCCAAGCACCCAAGGUGUCCCCCCACUUUCUCCAGACCCCUAAUUUUGGCGAUGAGUCCAAUGUGGGGGAACCCAGAAUAAAUUCCCCCAUAGAGAUCAUUUGCCAACCAUUCGCAACCCAGCCUAGUCAACAGCCCAAGACUCUGCACCAGCUGGAGAUUUGAAAGCCCAAAGCUCUCCCCUUGAUCCUGCUUGGAGCUGGCACAGGGACUUCCAGGGCUGGGUGCCCCACCCCAACCAAUAGGGGGUCCCUCAUCCCCUCCCCAAACUUCCUCCCUCAGUGAGGGAAGCAGUUCCCUCAGCCGGAUGCAGAGACCUAGUUUCUUUUACAAACCCACCCAUAAAUUUUAUAACAGGUAGUUAAAAAUUACGACAAGGAAGCUCUGGCCCAGCUUUUCACAAUGGGCCACUGGAAGAAUGGGACGGCACUGCGGCCUGCUCACGGGAAAUUUUACUUCUAGUCUGUGGCACAACCUGUCCCGAGUUCACUCUAAUUGGGGCCACGUAACUUUCUGCAGCCGUCAGGCAGCCAGUGGGGCGUCUCAUUUGAGGAAGAUGAGCCUGGGGAAGGCCAGUCAACUCUUUCACCCUAGGGCCCCCCCCCAAAGCCCUUUAGAGCACUCACUACCUCCCUCAACCCCCCACCCAGGUCCCCUGCAGGCCCACACCUCCCUUGGCCUCUGCAAUGAAAUGGGAGGGGAGAUAGAAUGCCGAGAAUUAAAAAAAAAAAAAUCCAGAGAAACGAAUUUACCCCCCAACUUAAUAGCUGCA